CGCAGUGCCGUAGUUAACACAAUAAGCGCUCCGCCUGGGGAGUACGGUCGCAAGACUGAAACUCAAAGGAAUUGACGGGGGCCCGCACAAGCGGUGGAGUAUGAGUUUUAAUUCGACGCAACGCGAAGAACCUUACCAGGGCUUGACAUCCUCUGAAAGCCAUAGAGAUAUGGACCUUACCCUUCGGGGUAACAGAGAGACAGGUGGUGCAUGGUUGUCGUCAGCUCGUGUCGCGAGAUGUUGGGUUAAGUCCCGCGACGAGCGCAACCCCUAACAUUAGUUGCCAGCGAGUAAGGUCGGGAACUAUAAUGUGACUGCCGUUGACAAAACGGAGGAAGGAGGGGAUGACGUCAAAUCAUCAUGCCCCUUAUGUCCUGGGCUACACACGUACUACAAUGGCCGGUACAGACGGAAGCGAAGCCGUGAGGCGGAGCAAAACUGAGAAAGCCGGUCCCAGUUCGGAUUGUAGUCUGCAACUCGACUACAUGAAGUCGGAAUCGCUAGUAAUCGCAGGUCAGCAUACUGCGGUGAAUACGUUCCCGGGCCUUGUACACACCGCCCGUCACACCACGAAAGCUGACAACACCCGAAGCCGGUGAGCUAACCGAAAGGAGGCAGCCGUCGAAGGUGGGGUUGGUGAUUGGGGUGAAGUCGUAACAA
rnacentral:rRNA from 1 species